rnacentral:rRNA from 1 species
AGCAGUGCCGCGGUAAUACGUAGGUCCCGAGCGUUGUCCGGAUUUAUUGGGCGUAAAGCGAGCGCAGGCGGUUAGAUAAGUCUGAAGUUAAAGGCUGUGGCUUAACCAUAGUACGCUUUGGAAACUGUUUAACUUGAGUGCAAGAGGGGAGAGUGGAAUUCCAUGUGUAGCGGUGAAAUGCGUAGAUAUAUGGAGAAACACCGGUGGCGAAAGCGGCUCUCUGGCUUGUAACUGACGCUGAGGCUCGAAAGCGUGGGGAGCAAACAGGAUUAGAUACCCCAGUAGUCCCUGUCUCUUAUACAC